GGUUUGGUCGGGACCGAGUGACUCAUGACUGAGCGUUCGGUACAGUGACUAGACCCUGUAACGAUCGUCCAAUCACAACAGUACACCAGCCAGUGAGGCAGGGGUGUUCUCCCUGGCCCUCCUUCUUGUCCCUGCGUCCCUGCCCCCAUCCUUCCUCUUCCCAGAAUGGUCCUUCAUCUACAGCAGCGGCAUGCCCAGGGCACCACAUCCUCCCACAAUGCGUCUGGACUGGAUCCUGCUUCCCAGGCCCCACCGUUCUUCCCCUUGACCGAGGAGAGACACUUCCGUGUUUUCAAUACCACGUUUUCUUGACUGACUCCGUCCUCCAAAGAAACUUACUGGUUGCCAGAAUACGGACUCUGCAUGACCACUCAGAUGAACCACGCCCCAGCACCGUGUCUCAAAGGGUGAUCUACCCAGUAUCUUCUGGAAGUACUUGUUGAAAAUGGACAGAAUCCCAACACGUGAAACUGGAUUCUCCAAUUAUGAAAAAUUAUUUCAUGAUCCUUAACCUUGUAAAGUUUAACAGACCACAUAAUACAUAAUUAGAAUUUA